rnacentral:rRNA from 1 species
AACGUAGGUGGCGAGCGUUAUCCGGAUUUACUGGGCGUAAAGGGUGUGCAGGCGGGCUGUUAAGUGGUGCAUGAAAUCUCCGCGCUUAACGUGGAGAGGCUGUGCCAGACUGGCAGUCUAGAGUACGAGAGAGGGUUGUGGGAAUUCCGGGUGUAGUGGUGAAAUGCGUAGAGAUCCGGAGGAACACCAGAGGCGAAGGCGGCGAACCUGGCU